rnacentral:lncRNA from 1 species
AAAGCAGACAUGCUCGCAAACAUGGAGGGCCUCUUCCGCUACAUGUUUAGCACUUAGCGCGAUGAAGUCUAUGGCAAGGCGCUGACAUGGCAGCCGCUCGAAAAGCGGCGUUGGAACAAACGUUAUCCGGACGCUCACAGGAGAGCGAAGCUCGCUCGAGUCAGAAACUGCUGCUCAAGCUGCUCAACGGAGGAGCUCGACGCAAAGGCAUAUGGUCUCACGGUGGGCAUCUACGGGAGAAGGAAGGACUUCCAAAGGGUGGAGAAAUGCUCCGGACGUCUCGGCCUGGACAUUGAUGGUGAAGAGCUUCGGAUGGACGAGAUCUGGAGCUAUGCUUCGUCGUGCCAGCUCGAGGCGGACUUCUCGAGAGCUCUUCUUUCAGAAAGAUGGAGGCUGCUUGAUCAAGCGAUCCAAGCCCGGGAAGGCCGAGCUUGUCAAGGCUGCCAACAUCGUCUAUGUAUGAAGCGAAGGGGCGAUGGAGUAGGCGCUGGACGAAAUGGACGAUGAUGUCUUGGACAUCCGCACCGACAAUGCCUUGAUCGAUGGGUGGAAGAGGAAAAGCUUGCAGAGAUGUCGAGGGCGGGGCUCAAGGCGCGAGUCACAGAGCAAGCACUCCUUGCUGCGCACGGCCGGAAUGAGAUAUAAAUCUAUCUUGUUUUGAUAGUCUUGUGGUGCAGAGACUAACUUGCUCUUACUGGCUCGGCCAUGAGCUCUCGUGCCGCUGUCGCUUCCAGAGGCGUCUUCUCGUACCAAAAGGUCUGGACGUUGUCGAUCUUGUGGUGGAGC